GUCUUCGGGAUUGUAAAGCACUUUAUGUUGGGAGUGAUGCGCAUUAACCUAUAUACGUUAGUGUUUUGACGUUACCGACAGAAUAAGCACCGGCUAACUCUGUG
rnacentral:rRNA from 1 species